rnacentral:lncRNA from 7 species
GCUCUCUGCAUGCUCUCCUCAGCCACACCUAAGAUGACAGUUCUUGGCUCAUUAUUAUUUGGAAAAGAAGACUCCAGAGUGAAGAUCAGCAGGAGGGAAGAGCCUAGUUUCUGACCUGUUUUUACCACAGAGCUUGUCUGUAUCCUAAUCCUUGGCCUGAGCAGCCUGACAUAGAACCUUCACACAUCUCUGCCUUACGGAUCUGUGAAACAGGAGCCACGAGUGCCAGAAAUAUCAUCUUCGUCCAACCUGUUGUCUGGAAUUGUGCUAUGUGUUACAGAACUGUGCUUGGUCAGUGUGCAACUGUGGGAGCAAUUGUGUGUCUCUUCUAAAAUGGGCAGCUCUGCAGUGUCAGCUCAACCUUCUCCGCUGCCUCCUGUCCAGAAAAGGAGAAGAAAGCACCUUCAUCAGGAGGAAAAGAUUCAACAAGUGAAAUGAAAGAUCCUGGGUGGGCACCUUCUUGGAGAUGGUUGUUUUCUCUGGAAAGGAAGAUUUGAAACGGCUGCAAAAAACAGGUAUUAGCAUGGAAGAAAUGAAAACGGUCCAAGUUGGAUUCUGCCUUCCACACAACUGCUGAGGUGCCCAUUGGAGGACAGCAGCCCUCGCAGAAGCAUUUCACAGUGAGCAAAGUAAGAUGUUCUCAGCAAGGGGAAGAAACUGGAGGACAUCUGCCUUGAGAAACGAGGAGGAGCUGUGAAAGUAGCUGUGUUCAGAAUGAAUGUGAAGCUACAACAUUUCCCCCAACUUUCCUCCUCAUAUGUCCAAAAGAACGAUGCUUUCACUGUGUUUCAGGUAUGUGUCACUAUUGAUAACUCACCCAAUUUGCUGAAGACCUCUGCAUUCAUAGGAAUUUCAGGGCGAUCCAUGAAGUUCUCUCCCUGGGUCACAAGGGCUUCCUUGAUUAGUGGAAGUCCAUUUACAAUCACAAAUGACUGGGUGCCUACUUGCAUGCUGAAGAUAUCUCCAUGUUCUUCAAUAAUCUGGGGAGGAGGUAAAUAUAUAAAACAGGAUUGAUUU